AGUGGCGAACGGGUGAGUAACACGUGGGCAACCUGCCCUGCACUCUGGGAUAACUUCGGGAAACCGGAGCUAAUACCGGAUAACAUCCUCCUCCGCAUGGUGGGGGGUUGAAAGUUCCGGCGGUGCAGGAUGGGCCCGCGGCCUAUCAGCUUGUUGGUGGGGUAGUGGCCUACCAAGGCGACGACGGGUAGCCGGCCUGAGAGGGCGACCGGCCACACUGGGACUGAGACACGGCCCAGACUCCUACGGGAGGCAGCAGUGGGGAAUAUUGCGCAAUGGGCGAAAGCCUGACGCAGCGACGCCGCGUGAGGGAUGACGGCCUUCGGGUUGUAAACCUCUUUCAGCAGGGAAGAAGCGGUCGGGUUUUCCCGGUCGUGACGGUACCUGCAGAAGAAGCACCGGCUAACUACGUGCCAGCAGCCGCGGUAAUACGUAGGGUGCGAGCGUUGUCCGGAAUUAUUGGGCGUAAAGAGCUCGUAGGCGGCCUGUCGCGUCGGAUGUGAAAACUCGGGGCUUAACCCCGAGCCUGCAUUCGAUACGGGCAGGCUAGAGUUCGGCAGGGGAGACUGGAAUUCCUGGUGUAGCGGUGAAAUGCGCAGAUAUCAGGAGGAACACCGGUGGCGAAGGCGGGUCUCUGGGCCGAUACUGACGCUGAGGAGCG
rnacentral:rRNA from 1 species